GCAGUCGAGGGGUAACGGUCCACUUCGGUGGAGCCGACGACCGGCGCACGGGUGAGUAACGCGUAUGAAACCUUCCUUCAACAGGAGAAUAGCCCGAGGAAACUCGGAUUAAUGCUCCAUAACGUAUUAAUCACGCCUGUGAUUUUUACCAAAGCUGAGGCGGUUGAAGAUGGUCAUGCGUACCGUUAGUUAGUUGGUAGGGUAACGGCCUACCAAGGCAGCGAUGGUUAGGGGUCCUGAGAGGGUUUUCCCCCACACUGGAACUGAGACACGGUCCAGACUCCUACGGGAGGCAGCAGUGAGGAAUAUUGGUCAAUGGGCGAGAGCCUGAACCAGCCAUGCCGCGUGCAGGAUGACUGCCCUAUGGGUUGUAAACUGCUUUUCUGCGGGAAGAAAAGCGAAGAUUCGUUCUUUGCUUGACGGUACCACAGGAAUAAGCAUCGGCUAACUCCGUGCCAGCAGCCGCGGUAAUACGGAGGAUGCAAGCGUUAUCCGGAUUCAUUGGGUUUAAAGGGUGCGCAGGCUGGGUGAUAAGUCAGUGGUGAAAGCCCGGAGCUUAACUUCGGGAUUGCCAUUGAAACUGUCACUCUUGAGUGCAGUCGGAGACGGCGGAAUGAGUUAUGUAGCGGUGAAAUGCAUAGAUAUAACUCAGAACACCGAUCGCGAAGGCAGCUGUCUAGACUGCUACUGACGCCGAGGCACGAAAGCGUGGGGAGCAAACAGGAUUAGAUACCCUGGUAGUCCACGC
rnacentral:rRNA from 1 species